CCUACGGGCGGCAGCAGUGAGGAAUAUUGGUCAAUGGACGAGAGUCUGAACCAGCCAAGUAGCGUGAAGGAUGACUGCCCUAUGGGUUGUAAACUUCUUUUAUAUGGGAAUAAAACGUUCCACGUGUGGGAUUUUGUAUGUACCAUAUGAAUAAGGAUCGGCUAACUCCGUGCCAGCAGCCGCGGUAAUACGGAGGAUCCGAGCGUUAUCCGGAUUUAUUGGGUUUAAAGGGUGCGUAGGUGGAUUGUUAAGUCAGUUGUGAAAGUUUGCGGCUCAACCGUAAAAUUGCAGUUGAAACUGGCAGUCUUGAGUACAGUAGAGGUGGGCGGAAUUCGUGGUGUAGCGGUGAAAUGCUUAGAUAUCACGAAGAACUCCGAUUGCGAAGGCAGUUCACUGGACUGCAACUGACACUGAGGCUCGAAAGUGUGGGUAUCAAACAGGAUUAGAUACCCGUGUAGUC
rnacentral:rRNA from 1 species